rnacentral:other from 1 species
CAAAUCCUAAGAUGUGCGUAAGGCUCAUGAUGUUCAACCGACAUUAUGAAUAAGGGAUGUUCAAAAGUUUAUAUAGAUGUCAGGCUUCCUUUCAAUAUUUUUUAUUGAAACCUCAAGAAGACAGAAGUAUAAUGAGGAUAACCCACCUGCCUAUGGCGGGUGUGAACAUAUGAGAUGACGGCAUGUUGGGUCAUAA